UACAGAGGGUGCAAGCGUUAAUCGGAAUUACUGGGCGUAAAGCGUGCGUAGACGGUUAUGUAAGUCAGGUGUGAAAGCCCCGGGCUCAACCUGGGAAUGGCCAUUUGAGACUGCAUAGCUAGGGUACGGAAGAGGGAAGCGGAAUUUCAGGUGUAGCGGUGAAAUGCGUAGAUAUCUGAAGGAACACCAGUGGCGAAAGCGGCUUCCUGGUCCAGUACCGACGUUCAGGCACGAAAGCGUGGGAGCAAACAGGAUUGAGAU
rnacentral:rRNA from 1 species